rnacentral:rRNA from 1 species
AGUAACUGAGUUUCAAGUUUAAAUGUAGUUUUCAAAGCCUUGUUAUAUGUAGCUGAGAGCAACUGAAAUUCCAAAGUACUGAAAAGGAGCAAAAGAAAUAAUAGUAAAUGUUAACUAGUAAUAUUAAGGUAAAUACUACUUCCUUUUGCAUAAUGAUUUAAUUAGAAAUGUUACUGGUAUUGGCUUAAAUCAGUUAACCCGAAAAUAAACGAUCUAUCUUAGUUCAAGUAUUAGCUGACUUUACCGUAUUAUGUUGCAAUAUAAUCGGGUGAAAUUGAGAUAGGGGUGACAUGCUAAUCGUGUUUAUUUCUAGCUGGUUACUUAAGAAAUGAAUAUAAGUUCAGCUUUGUGGUUUAGUCGUUAGUGGGGCCAAUCGGAAUAUGCUGAUUAGCCUAGAUGUAAACAAACAUAGUCUAUGAUUAAACAAUUUUUCACUUGUUGAUGGGCUUAAAAGCAGCCAUUCUAUUAUAAAAGCGUUACAGCUAUCUAAGAACAAUUUAUGUUAAAUCUAGCUUGGUAAUAAGUAACUCUUUUGAGGAUUUUAUGUUAAAAUGCGUAGGUAAAUAUACUUUAACAUGAGUGUAGACAAAUUAAGCUUGGCAAUGUACUAGCAAGGCAUGAGUUUAAAGUUAAUCUGACAUGAGAAUGUGUUUAAGUAAAAUAAAUAGAGAAUAGGAACUCGGCAAAUGAUAAGCUCGCCUGUUUAACAAAAACAUCGCCUCUAGAGAAGUAUUAGAGGUCUGGUCUGCCCAGUGUAAAAAAUUAACGGCCGCGGUAUCCUGACUGUGCAAAGGUAGCAUAAUCACUUGCCCUUUAAAUGGGGGAAUGUAUGAAUGAUUAGACGAGGUUUUGACUGUCUUUUUUCUAAAAACUGAGAUUUCAGUACCUGUGAAAAUGCGGGUGAAAUCAUAAUGGACGAGAAGACCCUGUUGAGCUUUUAAGUUAUACAGCAGUAUGAAUUAAAUUAGAUAAUUCAUUAUUUAUAAAAUACACAUAUCUGGUAAGCUUUUUGGCUGGGGUGGCAAGCAAAGGAAUUAAGCUUUGUUUAUCAAUUGAAAUCUUAAUGUUUGGAGACAGUAUAUGUCAAUAAACUUAAUUUGGAUCCGCUAACUGAGCGAUUAAUAGAAUAAGUUACCACAGGGAUAACAGCGUUAUUCUUCUUGAGAGCUCGUAUUGACAGAGGAGUUUGCGACCUCGAUGUUGGAUCAAGAUUCCUGGUGGUGUAGCAGCUAUUAAGGGUUUGCCUGUUCGGCGAUUAAAAUCUUACGUGAUCUGAGUUCAGACCGUCGUAAGACAGGUUAGAUUCUAUCCUUAAAUUUAUGCGUUUAGUACGAAAGGACCAACAGCAUGUGAUUUUAAGUUUUUAUUAAAUCAUA